rnacentral:lncRNA from 1 species
CGGGAAUGAGAUUUCUGGCCAGGCCUUAUAUACGUCCAUACAAAUUAACUUUGUCCAUAUGUCAGUCUGUCAGCUGAAGCUUUUGGAGCUGACCCAUCAACUCCUCCUAUGAUUUUAAUGUUUGUUGCCACCUUCUCUGCACAAGAAAUUCAUUCGUGUUACGUUGCAUGGAUAUAGGCACACAACACAAGUCCAUCGGUUCAGCUUCCGGUACAAUGGUUCCACAAAAUUGACAAGACAAAC